AUCAUUGCCCAGUCUAAUGUCACGAAGUUUUUCUCCUUAUGUUUUCUUCUCAUAGAUUUAUAGUUUCAGGUCUUGAAUGUAGGACAUGCUUCAAAUUUAAUUGGUAUCCUUUUUUUCUGCCAAUUUACUACAGAACUUAUUGAAUGUGGAAAAGAUUCAUGCAAUCAUGAGUUUUCUGCCUAUAAUUUUGAAUCAGCUCUUCAAAGUUCUGGUACAGAAUGAGGAAGAUGAAAUAACUACAACUGUCACCAGGGUUCUGACCGACAUUGUGGCCAAGUGCCAUGAGGAGCAGCUGGAUCAUUCUGUCCAGUCAUAUAUUAAGGUAUGAAAUGCCUCUUGGAAAUUGCUCAUAUCC
rnacentral:ncRNA from 2 species